rnacentral:rRNA from 1 species
AACGCGAAGAACCUUACCUGGUCUUGACAUCCACAGAACUUUCCAGAGAUGAGAAUGUGCCUUCGGGAACCGUGAGACAGGUGCUGCAUGGCUGUCGUCAGCUCGUGUUGUGAAAUGUUGGGUUAAGUCCCGCAACGGGCGCAACCCUUAUCCUUUGUUGCCAGCGGUCCGGCCGGGAACUCAAAGGAGACUGCCAGUGAUAAACUGGAGGAAGGUGGGGAUGACGUCAAGUCAUCAUGGCCCUUACGACCAGGGCUACACACGUGCUACAAUGGCGCAUACAAAGAGAAGCGACCUCGCGAGAGCAAGCGGACCUCAUAAAGUGCGUCGUAGUCCGGAUUGGAGUCUGCAACUCGACUCCAUGAAGUCGGAAUCGCUAGUAAUCGUGGAUCAGAAUGCCACGGUGAAUACGUUCCCGGGUCUUGUACACACGC